CGGCUGUCUUUGUACAUGUUGUAAACUAUUUCAAACUAUCCCUUCUGAUUAAUGAAAUAAACCUUGUUAUCCUUUGCAUGCAUGAAACUGGUUUCUGUGUUGGAGCGAUCUGUCAUUUGUUUUAUCUUCUUGCAAGGUACUUUAUAUUUCCAGCAAACCCAAAUGAGAGAGACAAAUACUAGUAGUAUCAAAACUGUGCUGAUGCCUAUAAUCGAUGGUGUUGGUAUUUUACUGUCAUCGAUGCCUAUU
rnacentral:lncRNA from 1 species